rnacentral:rRNA from 1 species
UACGUAGGGAGCAAGCGUUGUCCGGAAUCAUUGGGCGUAAAGCGCGCGUAGGCGGUCUCUUAAGUCCGGGGUGAAAGGUUCAGCGCUCAACGCGAACAGUGCCCUGGAGACUGGGGGACUUGAGUGUGGGAGGGGGCAGUGGAAUUCCGGGUGUAGCGGUGAAAUGCGUAGAUAUCCGGAGGAACACCAGUGGCGAAGGCGGCUCACUGGCCCGGUACUGACGCUGAGGUGCGAAAGCGUGGGGAGCAAACAGG